AAGUCGUAACAAGGUUUCCGUAGGUGAACCUGCGGAAGGAUCAUUAUCGAAUUCAUAGGCGAGGGUUGUCGCUGGCCCAACCGGGCAUGUGCACACCCGAGUCGUCCCAACACACACCGUGGGCCUUCGGGCCCGCGUAUAUAUUUACUCUGAAUGUGUAUAGAAUGUAAACCACUUGUUCGCCCUGAAAAAGCGAAUGAAAAGUACAACUUUCAACAACGGAUCUCUUGGCUCUC
rnacentral:misc_RNA from 1 species